UUAGAUUAAAAAAGAUUCUGGCUUCAAUUUUGCUUACCUCUAUUUUCCCCUCCCUUUCUUCUGAUGAAAGGCAAAUGCCACGUCGUAAGCUGCUCUAUAGAGAACGUCACAUGGUAAGGAAUUGAGGCUCUCAGUCCAGCAGCCCACAAGAAACUGAAUUCUGCCGAUAACUACAUGAAUUAGCUGAAAAGUGAAUCAUCCCUCACUAGAAACUUCAGGGAAUCCAUACGUCCUCAGGGUCUAGUCUGAUUAAGGAUACACCCACGGAACAGGAACUGUCACGGCUCAUCAGAGUCAGUUUGCAGACUGCCAAUACCCAGAGCUGUUCUGGAACUUGGCAGCAGCAGUUGCAACACCUAAGAACAGAACUCUGGAGAGCAUCUGGGAGUACAGGAGACAAGCCACCAUGACUUAUACAGCUGCAAGAAAGUGAAUAUUGCCAAUAACCACAUGUGCUUGGAAGAGGAUUCCAAGUCUCAAAUAAGACUGCAGACAUGGCAGGUGUCUUAUUACAGCAAUACACCCAGCUAUGUUGUGCCUGGACUACUGAUCUACUGUGAGA